AUUGAACGCUGGCGGCAGGCCUAACACAUGCAAGUCGAGCGGAUGAAGGGAGCUUGCUCCUGGAUUCAGCGGCGGACGGGUGAGUAAUGCCUAGGAAUCUGCCUGGUAGUGGGGGAUAACGUCCGGAAACGGGCGCUAAUACCGCAUACGUCCUGAGGGAGAAAGUGGGGGAUCUUCGGACCUCACGCUACCAGAUGAGCCUAGGUCGGAUUAGCUAGUUGGUGGGGUAAAGGCCUACCAAGGCGACGAUCCGUAACUGGUCUGAGAGGAUGAUCAGUCACACUGGAACUGAGACACGGUCCAGACUCCUACGGGAGGCAGCAGUAGGGAAUAUUGGACAAUGGGCGAAAGCCUGAUCCAGCCAUGCCGCGUGUGUGAAGAAGGUCUUCGGAUUGUAGAGCACUUUAAGUUGGGAGGAAGGGCAGUAAGUUAAUACCUUGCUGUUUUGACGUUACCAACAGAAUAAGCACCGGCUAACUUCGUG
rnacentral:rRNA from 1 species